ACCAGAGCUCAGAAAAUGACCUGUUCCCCAGGACCAGUAAUUACACUGUUCUUAAUGUUAGGAGGAAGCAGUGGAGAAUCAGUGACCCAGAUGGAAGGCCAAGUGUUCCUCUCUGAAGGGAAUUCUCUCAUUGUGAACUGUUCCUAUGAAACCAAACAGUACCCUGCUCUAUUCUGGUAUGUCCAGUAUCCCAGAGAAGGUCCACAACUCCUCUUCAGAGUUGCAAGGGCUGGAGAAAAGGGGAGUCACAAAGGAUUUGAAGCCACAUACAGUAAAGAAACAACCUCCUUCCACUUGGAGAAGGCCUCAGUCCACGAGUCAGACUCAGCUGUGUAUUACUGUGCUCUGGGUGACACAGUGGCAGAAACCACAGGGGAAGCUGAGCACAAACUGAGCAGCACAGGGGCGUGGCUGCAGGGCGUCUGCUCUGGGAUCCCUCUGGUUAGGGAUGAGGAACACGUUUACAAUAUCACCACACACCCAAGUCCUGUUAUAUCACUAAGAAUACAAUAA